UACGUAGGGGGCAAGCGUUGUCCGGAAUCAUUGGGCGUAAAGCGCGUGUAGGCGGCUCGGUAAGUCUGCUGUGAAAGUCCAGGGCUCAACCCUGGGAUGCCGGUGGAUACUGUCGAGCUCGAGUCCGGAAGAGGCGAGUGGAAUUCCUGGUGUAGCGGUGAAAUGCGCAGAUAUCAGGAGGAACACCAAUGGCGAAGGCAGCACUCUGGGACGUGACUGACGCUGAGGCGCGAAAGCUAGGGGAGCGAACGGG
rnacentral:rRNA from 1 species